AAACAUCUGAAGUCAGAACACGCGGGUGCAUCGAAGUAAUAGUUUUGGUAGUGAAAAAUGCAAAAUAAGCCAAACAACAGGGAUCCUCUCCAACUGACAUGUGAUAUAUCAAUUGCGUGACAUUUUUGAAGUUCUGGGUCAAGAAUCUGGUGACGAAAGUAGUUUUGUGCGGUGUGUACCAUAAUAUAACCUGCGCAGGAUGAACAGGUGACUAUAGACUGUAUGAAGCAAAUGCAAAGGAUUGUAUAUGAUUUCAGAUGCAUAUGAAAAGGAAUGAAAGCUGCACAAACUUCUUUUUUCAGCAAUGCAUUCAGCUUCUACACUCUCAGAAUUUCACACACAAAGUUUACAAAAGACAGUUUGUGCCAGAUAGUUGAGUUUCCUAUUAGAACAGCAACAGAGACAGUAAAUUGUGCCUGUGGGGAUGUAAGAGAUUCAGUGUUCUGAAAACGUAUUCUAAAUGCUGUCAUCACUUUUAGUGACACUAUUAGCAGGAUGAAAGUGUUGGAAAUCUCUGUCAUUUAGUCUAAGAGGACGAAGAAACUACAGGAAAGAGAUUCAGAGGUGGAGAAAUCAGAGAGCAACAGGGAUGAAGAAGAAGAUGGAAACAGUCAGGAUGAUUAUCAACUAGGAUUGCACUAAUGCUUGGAAUGCUGUCUUCUUCUUACUUCGCCGUUGCCCAUCUGCCACGUGCGGGCCGCAGCGGCUGCAGGUUUGACCCCGCUGUAGACGCUGUGGUACCUGGCACGGGGAACAGAGUCGCUGACCUUCAAACUGGACACAGUCAGUCAGCAUAUACUUAGAACAAUUUUAAACAAGUGAUUCAUACAUGGAGGUGGCUGUCAACAACUUGGGUUCUUUAAAGCUGAUGACUUGGGAGCACAUUAAAAUUGAACGUGGUGAUACUUUAUUUGGAGCGUACUGUACGCAGCCUGCUGCCAUCGCUUCCAGGAAACGUUUGGCAACUGACUCGCUCCAAGGUUCCAAUUCACAAACGUUCAGCGGCCAAAAUCGCUGGAACGCAGUAUAGUAUCUGCGUCCAGACCCGGCUCUGGUGUCAUCCCAGCCUCGUAUCCAGUUGGUACAGCGGUCCUUUCUCGGGGGUAAAGCGCCACCGGAGCGUGACGCUGACCACUCACCCCCACCUGGUGCCGAUUGAGACUGAGUAAAAGCUAUACCCCCUCUCGCCACAUGAGCGUACACGGCGUAUAGUAGGACAGCUUUACUUCUCCUUGUGUGCACCCAUCAACGCUAGUUCUUCUAGUUUCUUAGUUGCCGCUAAAUCCAAAGGGACCUUGCGCGUCUGGGCCACCUUUAGCGCCGGUUCCAUGUAUGUUUGUAGUAAUAAGUGUCAUAUUCUUAACGAAACUCAAUUAAAAAUAAAAUGACAAUGACACAUGUUACAUAGGCUAGUGUGAAUUAAAAUUCUGUUCAUUGUAGACUAUAUAAAGUUUGCACAUUUGUACUAAAAAUCAUUAUCACUUAGAAAUACCUUAAAAUCCGCACUUUCCACUUUAAUUAACAUCACAGCUAUCCGUACAGGAUUUUCUUGGAGACAGGAUUUGUUUUCAUGUUUGUAGCUUUAACGUAAAAUUUAGUUUUAUGUCGCAGUUUGUAACAAAUUCGUUGUUAUGGAAGUUAAGCGCUAUUCAUUUAACGUUGAACUUGAUCUGACUACUUUAUGACAGACUUCAGUAUAUUUAAAAUGAAAAACUUGAAGGUUCAGGAAAUUGAUAUUAUUAACAACCUUCUUUUUUAAUCUUAAUGCGCUGUUUCCUACUCUUCUGUUCUGUUGCAUCAUGUCACAGCGCGUAACUCUACUACAAGUAGAGCUUAAAGAUUGUGAUAAUGAGUUAGAAGGUCACUCGUGUCGAUAAGGAAAUCCAUAGUUGCAUAUAAAUGUUUUUAUUAAAUGCUUUACCUGUUUCCAACAAACUCCAAACCGGAAUUUGAAAUCAGUGAAGCAAAUUAUUCUUCGGACUGCGGUAACCUCGGCAAGUUUUUACGUAGUAAUGACGUUUGUGGACUACAAACGCAAAGCCGGGUCCACACUUGCGCAUUCUACCAUAACGUAACAGCGAAUGCGCAUGCGUGGACGAUGUUGAAGUAACAUUCGGUCAUGUUCAGUUCGCGGCGGCCGUUCAAAGCUGCUGUCGGAUUUUCUACGAACGUCAAAGGUUGUUACGUUAUGCCACAGGAACAAGUUUGGGGGGCGUCCCAUUAGGGUUGGUUCCCGAAACGUCGGUUUACUACGGUAGCCAGUUAACACGGCUGAUUGCCCGAGAAGAUUUUAUUGAUUGUACUUGCCGUGAAAGUCUCAUAUCCUACAGCAUAACAACAUAUUUGCACAAUCAAAGAUACUUGGUUUAGCAACAUAAAACAGUAGGAUGUGGUCAAGCCAGAAGUGUGUAAUGCUUAUGCUGCCCAACCGAGAUACAGUUAACUACGUUUCGGCGUAUGAGCACUAAUAACGUUCAUUUGUUAAACCAAGUAAGCCAAAUAAGCGUAAUAAUUAGUCUUCUUAAAAUCAGCAUUUUAUUGAUACGCCCUUUUGGCAUGGUGCCCUCGAUAUCACACAUGGCAUUAUUUCAGUCACUUAAUUAUCGCGUCUCCUUUAAACAUUUUAAGCAUUAUUUAAAUAUGCUACAGGCUGUUCUUUUAAGAGUUUUUUUGUCCCCGGAACUGACACAGAUGUUGGGUUUGAAUUGAUAAAUGCGCGGAAAAACAAACUCCACACAAACGCACGCGCGCAUGCGCACAUAUCUAUUUCCGUUUCCCAAUUUCUCUGUCUGUGCUCUAGUUGCUAGUUGAUGGUGAUACUGAUUUUAUACUACAAAUUAUUUUUAUGUCCCUGAAUAUUUAGUUGCUGGAAGCUUUUUCAUGCAUAAUGUAAUAUUGUCAUAUGAAAUAAACACAAUUAUUAUAUCAAGAAAACUCAUGCGAAGACAUAGGCCUAAAUCUAUGUUUGUACUGUUACCAAAUAUUAUUCGUGCGAUCAAAAGUUAACUAUGAUGAUAUAGGGGGCUUGUAGCAAGAAAUUUUAGUAGGGAAAUCUGAAGGGAAGAGACAACUUGAAGGACCUAGAUGUGGACGGGAUUAUUCUAUUAAACUUAUUACUAACGAAAUAGAAAAUGAGGGUGCAUAAUGAAUUAACGCAGCUCAGGAUAAGGACUAAUGACGGGCACUUGUGAACACGUUACAGAGCGUUCUGGUUUCAUAAAAGUAAGGAAUUAUUGAACACCGAAGUAACUAUCAGCUUCUAAAGA